rnacentral:rRNA from 1 species
UACGGAGGGUGCAAGCGUUAUCCGGAUUUACUGGGUUUAAAGGGUGUGUAGGCGGUCUUUUAAGUCAGUGGUGAAAUCUCCGGGCUCAACCCGGAAACUGCCAUUGAUACUAUUAGUCUUGAAUUUUGUUGAGGUAGGCGGAAUAAGUCAUGUAGCGGUGAAAUGCUUAGAUAUGACUUAGAACACCAAUUGCGAAGGCAGCUUGCUAAACAAACAUUGACGCUGAGGCACGAAAGCGUGGGGAUCAAACAGG